rnacentral:lncRNA from 1 species
GGUUCAACAUGGGUUUAGAUUUAUGUUUUGAAUAAUUUCAACUUUUUAUUUUAUAAAUAAUUUACAAUAAAUUUUAUGCAAAGGUGUUCUAUUCUAAAAUUGAGUUGACUCAAUUUAAAACUGAAUUAGCUCAGUAAUUAUGCGAGUAUGUUUCAAAGAGUUUCAGAUCUGAAAAAUCUUACAUAAUCCUAAAAUAAAAUCAAUCAUAAACAUCCUUUU